rnacentral:tRNA from 1 species
UGGGGCCUAGCUUAGUGGCAGAGCAUGUGCUUAGCAUGCACGAGGCCCUGGGUUCAAUCUCCAGCACCAA